rnacentral:rRNA from 1 species
CCUACGUGCGGCAGCAUUGGGGGAUAUUGGACAAUGGGGGAAACCCUGAUCCAGCGACGCCGCGUGAGUGAAGAAGUAUUUCGGUAUGUAAAGCUCUGUCAGCAGGGAAGAAAGAAAUGACGGUACCUGACCAAGAAGCCCCGGCUAACUACGUUCCAGCAGCCGCGGUAAUACGUAGGGGGCACGCGUUAUCCGGAAUUACUGGGUGUAAAGGGAGCGUAGACGGUGAUGCAAGUCUGGAGUGAAAGGCGGGGGCCCAACCCCCGGACUGCUCUGGAAACUGUGUAACUUGGGUGCAGGAGAGGUAAGCGGAAUUCCUAGUGUAGCGGUGAAAUGCGUAGAUAUUAGGAGGAACACCAGUGGCGAAGGCGGCUUACUGGACUGUAACUGACGUUGAGGCUCGAAAGCGUGGGGAGCAACAGGAUUAGAUACCCGAGUAGUC